UUUACUUGGUGUUCGUUCUCUGGAAAGAUAGGCCGGCAGAAUCAAGAUUUAAUGUUAGGUUUAUAUAGUGUCAAUUUUACUUACCGUCGAUUUGGAUCCGUCGUCCUAGCAACAUAUUGAUCAAAAACCUCGCUGCUGGACGUGUUUUGCGAUGGAUAAAACAAACGACAUAAAAUCUUCAACGAAUUCUUUCACAGGUGCACGUAUUUCCUCGGAGCACAAUUACGUAGACAACGCACGGUUCAUAGAAUUACCAAAAGAAAACGAUAGUUUAACUUUGCCUGCUCCCUAUAAUCCGUUUGUCGGUCCGAAAACAUCUAAAGAACUCAAUAUUAAUUCGACGUGUUUAACAAACGACACAAGUUUAGAAGCAGCUACCAAUAAUGAUACCUCAAAAUAUGAACACCAGAUAGUCGUCAAUAAUCCUACUG